AUUGAACGCUGGCGGCAUGCCUUACACAUGCAAGUCGAACGGCAGCGGGGACUUCGGUCCGCCGGCGAGUGGCGAACGGGUGAGUAAUGUAUCGGAACGUACCAUUGAGUGGGGGAUAACGUAGCGAAAGUUACGCUAAUACCGCAUAUUCUCUCCGGAGGAAAGCAGGGGACCGCAAGGCCUUGCGCUCUUUGAGCGGCCGAUAUCAGAUUAGCUAGUUGGUGGGGUAAAAGCUCACCAAGGCGACGAUCUGUAGCGGGUCUGAGAGGAUGAUCCGCCACACUGGAACUGAGACACGGUCCAGACUCCUACGGGAGGCAGCAGUGGGGAAUUUUGGACAAUGGGCGCAAGCCUGAUCCAGCCAUGCCGCGUGAGUGAAGAAGGCCUUCGGGUUGUAAAGCUCUUUCGGCCGGGAAGAAAUCGCACCAGUUAAUACCUGGUGUGGAUGACGGUACCGGAAUAAGAAGCACCGGCUAACUACGUGCCAGCCGCCGCGGUAACAC
rnacentral:rRNA from 1 species